rnacentral:rRNA from 1 species
CAAUCUCACCAGGCCAGCACUCUAGCAUGAUUGACAGAUUGAGAGCUCUUUCUCGAUUCAGUGGAUGGUGGUGCAUGGCCGUUCUUAGUUGGUGGAGUGAUCUGUCUGGUUAAUUCCGAUAACGGACGAGACUCUCCCCUGCUAACUAGUCGGUUGGAUCUUGAUCUGCGAGUGUGUGCCCUGUGAGGUGCUUGGUUGUUGCUGCGUGCGUGUUUGUGUCCCCAGCAAUGGGUGAUCCUGCGCGUGCGUUGGUGGCUUCCAUUGCUUCGCUGGUAACGCAUACUCCAAGUCCGCCGCUUGUCUUAGAGAAUAUUCUUCUUAGAGGGAUCCACGGUUCUGAAGCCGUCAGAGACUGAGAGCAAUAA